rnacentral:rRNA from 1 species
UACGUAGGUGGCAAGCGUUGUCCGGAUUUACUGGGCGUAAAGCGCGUGUAGGCGGCUUGUUAAGUCUGUCGUGAAAUCUCCCGGCUUAACCGGGAUAGGUCGACGGAUACUGGCAGGCUUGAGGGGAGCAGAGGAAGGUGGAAUUCCCGGUGUAGUGGUGAAAUGCGUAGAUAUCGGGAGGAACACCGGUGGCGAAGGCGGCGUUCUGGACUGUAACUGACACUGAAGAACGAAAGCCAGGGGAGCAAACGGG